rnacentral:rRNA from 1 species
AUUGAACGCUGGCGGCAUGCCUUACACAUGCAAGUCGAACGGUAACAGGGAGCUUGCUCCGCUGACGAGUGGCGAACGGGUGAGUAAUAUAUCGGAACGUACCUUUGAGUGGGGGAUAACUAGUCGAAAGAUUAGCUAAUACCGCAUACGAUCUACGGAUGAAAGUGGGGGACCCGUAAGGGCCUCAUGCUCAUAGAGCGGCCGAUAUCUGAUUAGCUAGUUGGUGAGGUAAAGGCUCACCAAGGCUUCGAUCAGUAGCUGGUCUGAGAGGACGACCAGCCACACUGGGACUGAGACACGGCCCAGACUCCUACGGGAGGCAGCAGUGGGGAAUUUUGGACAAUGGGGGCAACCCUGAUCCAGCAAUGCCGCGUGAGUGAAGAAGGCCUUCGGGUUGUAAAGCUCUUUUGUCAGGGAAGAAACGGGAUGUUCUAAUACGAUGUCCUAAUGACGGUACCUGAAGAAUAAGCACCGGCUAACUACGUGCCAGCAGCCGCGGUAAUACGUAGGGUGCAAGCGUUAAUCGGAAUUACUGGGCGUAAAGCGUGCGCAGGCGGUUAUGUAAGACAGGUGUGAAAUCCCCGGGCUUAACCUGGGAAUGGCAUUUGUGACUGCAUAGCUAGAGUGUGUCAGAGGGGGGUAGAAUUCCACGUGUAGCAGUGAAAUGCGUAGAGAUGUGGAGGAAUACCGAUGGCGAAGGCAGCCCCCUGGGAUAACACUGACGCUCAU